rnacentral:lncRNA from 10 species
UUCACCAGCCUGGAGCACUCGGGUCACAUGAUGUUACCCAAUGCUCCCUGACAGAUCUCCCCCGCUUCCCCGCUGCUUGGGGACCCCAGAAGCUAAUCCCCAUGGCAGCAGGCACUCUGAGGGAUUAGCACCGGGGAAAUUAGGCGCCACAUCUGCCAGCCCCUGGAGAGCUUGGUAAAGCCUGUGCCUCAGAGCCCAGGAAGCCAUUCCUGUCCUCUGGAACACAGGGGACUCCCAGAGGCACUGUCAGCCAAACUGGGGCCCUAACUGCCCUGUUCUUGCUGGUACCUUCUGGAGAGGCCCCUCAGGACCUCUUUUUGCCUUCACUCCUCUGACUCAGUUUCCUGCUUACGGGAUCUCCUGUGGUGUAGACCUGAAUCCUCAAAGAGCCAGAAUCUUCCAUGCCUUGGAGAGAAUGAAGACCCAGGUGAGGCACAGCCUCAAGAAGCUGUCACCAUGUGUCAGCUUCUGACACAUGUCUGACCAUGCCACCGUCCUUCUGGCUUCAAAUAUUGGGCUAAAUCCCCCCCACGUUACCUUCAUCAUCAUCAUCAUCAUCAUCAUCAUCAUCAUCAUCAUCAUCAUCAUCAUCUCUAGAGCUUGCACCUGCAGGCCAGGAACAGUUUCAAAUGUUUUACAUAAACUCACUGAAUUAUCAAAACAAACCAGAAACUAACUCCUCUUCCUUUUUACAUCCCCAGAGGCCUCUGCCUGGAGUGACCCAAGCUCAUUCCUAACUACCUGUUCAAUGACUCUCUCCUCCUCCUCCCUCCCCCUAGGCUGAGCUCAUCUGUAUCUGUGAGCCCUGAAGCCCUUUAUUACACCUCUAGCUACCAACUGGUGAACAGCUCUCUAUGGGCUUUGCAUGCACUAUCUUAUUUAUUCUCAACUAAACCCUAUAAGAUGUAGGAACAAUUGUUAUCUGCAUUAUGCAGAUGAGAAAUCUGAGACUCAAAAGGGUGAGGUCAUUUGUCCAGAACUAGUAACGGCAGAGCCAGAGUCAAGUCCUACUUCCCUGGCCCCAGGCCCUUGUGUCUGAUUAUGCCACUGUCCUUCUGGCUCCUUGGGGGCAGAUGUGGCCCAGAGCACAGCAAGCCCUCGGGGAUUGUUUUCUGAAUGAAUAACUGGACAAAGAGUAGUUGUCCCAGAGUGGGCCGUGAGCAUGAGGAAGGAGGUGAGGGUGAUUGGGGCACAGAACACCUGAGAAGGAGCAGGGGUUGGGGGGUGGUGGAGCCGUGUUAUAGGUGGGGUUUGGGAGAGCCUGGUUCUUCCUGGGCCCUCCCCUACUGCCAGCAAUUUCCAGCUGGGAAGGGAAAGGAAAGAGAUUUCUAGUGGCUACUGCAAGUCAAACUGUGAGCAGCUGGCAAGCAGCUUAGAGAUUAAAUACUGACCCAUCUUCGGGUCUGCUGGAAUAAAUCCUGAGAUUGGAGACAGACGAGAUGAGGCUAGGCCCCAGAGGAGGGCUACAAAUUGGGGGUGUAGAGAUCCCAGCUGCAUUUUGAGGAGGAGGGGGGUGGUGCAUCUUACAGAGCUUGAAUCUCAGCUCUGCCAUUCACUGCCCAUGGACUCAGCAAGUCAAUUAAUGCCUCUGAAUUUUAUUCUUCACCUAAAAAUAAGCUAAGGAUCUGCUGGUUACACCUUAGGUGCCAGUUAGGGGAUAGCAGGCUGCCUUCCCACCAAGGGGUCCUCACUGCCCCUGCAGCUCUGUGUUCAUGCCAGGAGGGGAGUAUCUUCCAUAUGAUCCAGUGGCAAUAUCUGAGAGCCUUCCAUUCACUCCUUUGUAUCUGGGGUUACUCCUCCAACAGGUAGAGAAUCCCAAUGCUUUUGGGAUCUUUAAUUGCUUUAUUUUAUAACAAUUGAGGUAUCAUUUACAUGAAAUAAAAUCUGUGCAGUUCUAAGAGUUGUUUUUUUUUUUUUUUUUUGAGACAGGGUCUUGCGCUGUUGCCCAGGCUGGAGUGCAGUGGCAUGAUCAUAGCUCACUACGGCCUCUAAUUCCUGGGCUCAAGCAAUCCUCACACCUCAGCCUUCCAAGUAGCUGGGACUACAGGUGCAUGCCAGCAUGCCUGGCAAUUUUUUUCUAUUUUUUUGUACAGGCAGAGUCUUGCUAUGUUGCCCAGCCUGGUCUUGAACUCCUGGACUCAAGUGAUCCUCCUGCCUCGGCCUCCCAGAGUUCUAUGACUUUCAACAAAUGUAUAAAAUCCCAUAACCACCACCACGAUAAACAUAUAGCACAGUUCCAUGACCUCCCCAAAGUCCCUUCUGCUCUUUUGUAGUCUACCUCAUCCCUACCUCCAGACAACCAUUGAGUUGUUUUCUGUUCCUAUCAUUUUGCUUUUUCCAGAAUGUUCUAUGAGUUGUAUUCUAUAGUCUGUAACCAUUUAGUCUGGCUUAUUUCACUUAGCAUCAUGCUUUGAGGUUCAUCCACAUUAUUGCAUGUAUCAGUAGCUCGUUCCUUUACAUUGCUGAGUAGUAUUCCCUUGUACAGACGUACUAUAGUUUGUCUAUUUACUCACCAAUUGAGGAGCAUUUGGGUUGUUUCCAGUCUUUGAAUAUUAUGACCAAAGAUGAUUUCAGUGAGAACCCUAGAUUCUACAGCUGAAAGACACUUUUGAAAUCACACAAGAUUUCCAGAUGUAAAAGUAAACUCUUUACAAGUAGCCAACCCUCUUCAACACCUGGAGAAGUAGAGGCUCAGAGAGGGGAAGAGACUUGUCCAGAGUUACAACUGACUCAGGAGUGGAGUUAAGAUUUGAACCCAAGUCUUUCAACUUGCAGAACCAUGUAAAGUUCAAAAGAAUUUCCUGAGAACCUGCUAGUGCCAGGUGGGGUACUAGGUGUCCAAGGCAUAAGAGCCAGGAGGGAAUUCUCUGCUGGUGCUGGAGAGAAUCCUUACCUUGUAGGGACCCAGACAAAGAAGCCAGUAGUAGCCAGUUACCAUGAGCGGCUCUGCCUGGGGAAGAAUGAGAAGGCUUCACAGAUGCCUAUGGGUGUUAAGGGAAGAACACAGUUUUUCUGAUGGAAAAGGAUAAAAGGAAACCACAGCCCCAAGGAAUGGCAGGUGCAAAAGUACAGAGAG